rnacentral:rRNA from 1 species
GAUGAACGCUAGCUAUAGGCUUAACACAUGCAAGUCGAGGGACCGGCGCACGGGUGAGUAACGCGUAUCCAACCUGCCCAUAACUAAGGGAUAACCCAGCGAAAGUUGGACUAAUACCUUAUGGUUAUGAGUGGGGAUACUUAUGAUAAGCUUGUUGGCGGGGUAACGGCCCACCAAGGCAACGAUCAGUAGGGGUUCUGAGAGGAAGGUCUCCCACAUUGGAACUUAGACACGGUCCAAACGCCUACGGGAGGCAGCAGUGAGUAAUAUUGGUAAAUGGACGACAGUCUGAACCAGCCAAGUAGCGUGCAGGAUGACGGCCUAUGGGUUGUAAACUGCUUUUAUAUGGGGAUAGGUACCAUAUGAAUAAGGACCGGCUAAUUCCGUGCCAGCCGCCGCGGUAAUAC